GCCAACCGCUGGCCCUUCAGCAGGAAUCAUGCGGUCGCCCGUCGGCCGGGAAACCGUGGGGGGGGCAGCCUCCUCACUGGACAGCCAGCCAGUGCGGCCUCGCCGUGCCCCGCGGUGCCCUUUGCCUUCCAGUAAGAGUGUUUGGGAUUCCAGCUGCGAGUCCACCCACCUGAUGACUACAGACAGCGCAGGGGCACUGCCCACACGCUCACCUGCGAACAGCGGGAAGUUCCACACACGUGCACGCCGCCCCACAUGUGUGCAUGUACGUGAUUGCAGAGCGGAAGGCCACACACAGCCCGUCAGACAGGCUCCUGGCCCACGGAGAGAGCACACGCCUGCCCUGUCCAUCCCACCACGCCCAGGCUGGGUGACAUGGCUGGGCCUGGCCCCUGAAAAACCCUCUCUGGCGGCGAGCAGAGAAAGGAAUGAGAAACCACAGAGCCGCUUCUGCCCCGAGUCCGCCCCGCUCGGGUGCCUGGGAACCCCUUGUCUAACACGUGGCUCCGACGGCUCUAACGAAGGCUGGGUCUGGGAGACAGCGGGCCUGGAGCCGCAUCUGGGAAGGGCGGCGCGCGGUCAGGUGAGCGCGCAGUCAGGUGAGCGCGCAGUCAGGUGAGCGCGCGGAGGAGCUCUGUCCUGGGCCGGCCACCGUCACCUGCCCGGGGAGGCUGUCCUCACAGCGCCCUGCAGGACGGGCACGAGAGGGGAAGUAAGUGGGUAUUCCAGGGAACAUUUGGAAAAGCGGACAACGGCGCCAGGUCCACGCGGGGGUCCUUCCUGUGUGGUUUUAAAAACACAACCGUGCUUUCACUUUGCACUGGUUUCCAAGCCGGAGUCUGGAUUUCUAAGACAAACUGUGAAUUCCUGUGUCAACCUGGAGCUAGGAUGACGGGCGUCACUAAGGACUGUGGUAAGGCACACCUCCUGGGCAGGACCUCUGUAAACCCCGAGCGCCUCCUGGGAUGCCCGGGGACAGGCAGGACGGGAAGCAGCCCCAGGCCCGGUGUGAGGCAGGCAGCUUGGGGACAGAGCAGAGGCGGCCUGUCACGAAGGCCACAGCAGCCGCCAAGGGCCCGGGCAUGGGGCACACACGUCCCACGCGGGCAUUCAUGGAAUCUCUCGGAUGUCCGGGAGGAAGGACUUGGGGGGAACGCAGGCUGGGGGAGGCAAAGCCGCCUGCCCAAGGCCGCGCUGCUGCCCAGUGGCAGGGCUGACGCCAAGCCGGCAGGCCCUUCCUUCUACUGCUGGGUCCAUGCCACUGCGCAGGGCUGGCCCCGCACCUGCCCAUGGUCUCGGGCCCGGGAGGCCAGUUUCCCAGCCUCAGCCCGGAGCUUCCAGAGCGCAGGUCACUGCAGGGCCAGCAGACACCACCACCCGCCCCGGGCUGGCGGCUCCAGCCCAGGGCCAGCCCUCCUGGGGAGGCCAGAGGAGCGCCUGGCCCACAGGAAGGCCCAGGCCCUUUAAUGACCGGCUGGAGCCGCACCCCACCCACACUCCGGGGAAGCAGAGGGGUGCUCGCUGAGGGCUGUGAAUCAGAGACCUGGCUUCCUGGCUCCGAGUCCUCAUCCAGGGCGGGGGCCCAGGGGUUGGGGGCCGGAAGGAAGGAGGGCCUUGCCAGAGAAGCCGGAGGGCCAGCGGCAGCCUGUCGGGGCGGGGAGCCGGCCCUUGGGGUGGGGGCAGUUUCUGUCCAGGCAGGAUGUGGUCGCCUAGCCAGGCUCUCUGCGGAGGAGGGGUGAACACCCAGGCUCCUGGCAGUGGGCACAGGUGAUCACCCUGAGGCUCAGGGGGAAGACACCGCCCAGGGUGGGAAGGAGCCCCUCCCCUACAGGUCUGACUCUGCCCUGCCCUGUCCCCACUCCGCCCAGCCUCACAGCACGUCCUGGACUUCCUUCAGUGCUUGGCUGGGUCCUGUGGACGCAAUCAAAGUGACUAAGGCGUGUCCCCUGCCUUGGGUGCUCAGUCCAGAGGCAGAGCCUGGGCUGGUCACGUGGCUAAGAAGGCCCAGGACUGAACUCAGGCCCUCGUGAGGGGCACCUGUCCGGAGGAGGGGUCACCCCAAGCCGCGUUAGUGUCUCCUCCUCACCUCUGCUAUGCAACUCUGGACAAGUCGCUGUCCCUCUCUGAUGGGAGUUCAGGGAGGAUGAGACAAGAGGGUGCAUGCACCGAAUCCAGGGGCUGCUGGGGCUAGAGGGGCCCCGCCCCACGGUGAGGCCCCCACAGGCGGUGGCAGGUGGUCAGAGGGCCUGCCGGGCCCCCGCCCCACGGUGAGGCCCCCACAGGCGGUGGCAGGCCGUCAGAGGGCCUGCAGGGCCCCCGCCCCACGGUGAGGCCCCCACAGGUGGUGGCAGGUGGUCAGAGGGCCUGCCGGGCCCCCGCCCCACGGUGAGGCCCCCACAGGCGGUGGCAGGUGGUCAGAGGGCCUGCCGGGCCCCCGCCCCACGGUGAGGCCCCCACAGGUGGUGGCAGGCGGUCAGAGGGCCUGCAGGGCCCCUGCCUGGGCCAUGGGGCUGUUUCCCCUCACACUGAGGAUGGAGGAAGCAGCACUGAGGUGGGCCUGGGCUCCUGCUGGGCCAGCAACUCCCAGGGCUGCUGCCAAGAGUCCCUGGAAUCUAAUGCACUUAAGGUGCUUGGCUUAGGGUGGGGCCAGGCCAGGUGCCCCCAGAGGACACAGCAGGUGCUCAGCAGACUUGGAGCUGCACCCUGAGAGAGGCCGGGAGGGGAGGCGGCUGGGGUGAGAAGGGCGUGGCCGAGGGUGGGGGCGAGCAGGGCAGCAGCUUCAGGGGGAUGUGGCCCGGGCCCUCCCUCUUCCUGCCCUGCGGAAGCAGAGGGAGCCCCAGGCAGGGACCUGCCAGAGCUAGAGCAGCUCCCCGUGAGGCUGAGGGCCACGCCCCGGGUCCUCACAGGAGCCGGCGCCCGCCGUUGUGUGCCUGUGUUUCUGUUUUCUCUGUGUUGUGGUAAAAUGCACACCGAAGUCACCGAGCGUACGCACGGCUGCACAGCCGCCCCUGCCCCUGCGCCCGCAGGCUCCCCGCCGCCCCGUCUUCUUCCUGCCUCUCUGGACCUGAUUCUCCAGGGCCGGCUCUGCCCAGCGUAAAGCCCUCGGGUUCCUCCGCGCUGCAGCGGGGGCAGAGUCUCCUCCUCUUGGAGACUGGGCAAGGCUCCUCUCGCCCGAUUCACAGGCACAGAGACGAAGCUCAGGGAGAGGUUACUUGCCCGGCCUCACACGGCCCCUGAGUGGCAGAGAAAGCCCUCAGCUCCGGUGUGCAGGGGGGUCCGUCGGGGCACACCCCCACCUCACGGCUCCCCUGGGCACACCUGAAGGGAAGGCAGCAGGUGCGGGGGACUGGGGGCACUUUUCUAGGUGGCAGAAAACGCUUUUGGGGCGGGCACCGGGACGCUGCUCGGGACACUGGCGUCCCACACUGGAGCGCUGGUUCAAGUCCUGGCUGCUCCUCUUCCGAGACAGCUCCUUGCUGCUGAUGCCCCUGGGAAGGCCGCAGGGGAAGGUUCAAGUACUGGGGCUCCUGCCACCCACAGGGGAGACCUGGAUGGAGUUCCAGGUUCCUGGCCUCGGCCUGGACCGGCCCCGACCAUCGCUGCCAUUUGGGAAUGCACCAGCGGAUGGAAGAUUUCUCUGUCAUUCUAACAAAUAUCAAAUGAAUGAAUCUAAUUUUUACAGAAAGUGGAAACAGGGGUCAGCGUGGUGGCGCACCAGGUUAAUCCUCCGCCUCCGGCGCCGGCAUCCCAUAUGGGUGCCGGUUCUAGUCCCGGGAAGACAGUGGAGGAUGGCCCAAGUGCAUGGGCCCUGCACCUGCAUGGGAGACCGGGAGGAAGCUCCUGGCUCCUGGCUUUGGAUCGGUGCAGUUCCGGCCAUAGUGGCCAUUUGGGGAGUGAACGAACGGAAGGAAGACCUUUCUCUCUGUCUCUCUGUCUCUCUGUCUCUCUCUUACUGUCUGUAACUCUACCUGUCAAAUAAAUAAAUAAAAAAUCUUAAAAAAAAAAAGUGG
ensembl:lncRNA